CCUACGGGAGGCAGCAGUGAGGAAUAUUGGUCAAUGGACGAGCGUCUGAACCAGCCCAGUAGCGUGAAGGAUGACUGCCCUAUGGGUUGUAAACUUCUUUUAUAAAGGAAUAAAACGAGGCACGUGUGCCUUUUUGCAUGUACUUUAUGAAUAAGGAUCGGCUAACUCCGUGCCAGCAGCCGCGGUAAUACGGAGGAUCCGCGCGUUAUACGGCUAUGUUGGGUUUAACGUGAGCGUAGAUUGGUUGUUAAGUCAGUUGUGAAAGUUUGCGGCUUAACCGUAAAAUUGCAAGUGAUACUGGCAGUAUUGUGUACAGUUGAGGUAGGCGGAAUUCGUGGUGUAGAGGUGAAAUGCUUAGAUAACACGAAGAA
rnacentral:rRNA from 1 species